CAUUGCUAUAUUUUGUUUAUACAAAUCACUAAUUUUAUUCUAUAUUUUUUUCAAUCUCUUGUUUUAUUUUUGGAUAAUACAUGCAUCUGCCUAUGUAUCUGAUUUUGAACCAUUUGAAUUUUAUUUCCCUCUUUGGUUACUGGGAAAAUGCGGGAAAUACUAGAACUUGCAAAUUUGAGUUGUGCGUGUGUUUUAUUUAUUUAUUUAUGCGCUUGAAUAAAUAUGAGCAUAUACUCAGCUGAAUUUUCCUUCUUUUCUUGCCUGUGAUUUUGUUAGUAGCUUCAGUUUGUGAGAACCUCAAAAUAUAUAUGUGCUUUACCUUUUUCUCUGAUUUCUUUUUUUCCUGUUAGAUUAGAGCCUUGCCGCUUUCCCCAUCUGUUAAGAUUAUGCACAAAUUUCUGGUAGAUGUGGUUAAUCGGAGUUUAUAGAACUGUGUGUGGGUCCAACCCUUGACUGAAAAUGAUCAUUGAAUUUCUGGAUGAGAAUUUAGAAUGAUUCUGAAAACAAAUGCAUUCAUGGAUUGUUGUCACAAACAUUUGAGUGAACAAUUAGAUCGAAUAACUAUAUUUGGUUUUAGUGUUGGAAAAACCAAAUUCGUGGUUGGGUAUUGGGAAACCACUUAGUUUCCAUGCCACAAACACACAUACAAAAUCCAGUUCAUGGAGCCAUUGUAAAGAAACCACAGAUAUUUUAUUCAUUUCCUGAACAUAGUUUCACACAAUAUUAUUAAUGAGGAUUAGUAAUGGGUUUUGGUCAACAUUUUGUAGAUAGCACAUGGGUUGCUUUUGAGAUCUGAAGCAAAAGAUAACAGCUUUUCCUGCAAGGUCAUUUUCUAGACUUUGUGAAGCUCUGAUUGACUGAAUCACCCCUAAUUUUAUUCUGAAGAUAAGUAUGGAUUACUGAGAAGUCCCAUAGAUAAUAAGUAAUGCUUGUAUUGUACUUCAAUUAUUGAAGUCCUGUUUCAUGAGCAAAUAGAGAAUGGAUAUGCUUAAAUAGCUUCUGCUUGUUCUUUGUUUAUGCACUUAUUGAUUUGGCAUGUUAUCACUCACAUUUCUACCUUGAAAAUUAUGAGACAAUUAGAAUUUAUGUUGAUAAAUGUCAUGCUCUUUCAUGUUCAUAUUUGGAUUUUAUUGAAAUUGGUACGGCCCCUCGAGAUGUAUCUGGUUAUGGGACGCUGAGUGGACGCUUCCGAUGAAAGAUCUAAAGGCUUGAAGGAAAUUUUCUUAUUGCGACGUAUGAUUGUAAUUGAACAGGCUCAUUAGAGAGAACCUGAAGAUCUCUGAGUUUUAAAGUACCCUUUUUUGGAAAUAUUUUUCUCUUCUCUUUUAUUAACGUACUGCUGAAAGUUAUAAAGCAAAUGGGAGAAUAGCCACUCCCUACAUAACAGGAACUAAACAACUGAAAAUAAAGAUAUGGAGGUACACCCUCCUACAAUUGAGGAAAAUAAAAUGAAACUGAAAAUUUUACUCCCUCCCAUUUCGACGUGCUUGUCCUCAAGCACAAAGUUUGGAAAUUCCUUUUGCAAGUGACAGGCAUUCUCCCAAGAUGCAUCAGCUGGUGAAGUAUGCUGCCAAUGGACUAAAAUUUCGACUUGUCCAGCUCGAACAUGGUUGUCUAGAAUAGCCAAUGGCUUGCAUUGCAACUGAUCCGAAGAGUAGGGAGGGAACUCGAUACCAAUAUCACCUUGUCCGUCAUUGAAUUUUUUUAAGUUGGACACAUGGAAAACAGGAUGAAUUUUAGUUGAAGGCGGCAAAUCCAAUUUGUAAGCCAUCUUUCCAAUAAGUUGGACUACCGUGUAAGGACCAUGAAAUUUGGGCAAAAGCUUUUGAUGACGUCGUUCAGCAACAGAUAGCUGACGGUGAGGCUGGAGUUUGAGCAAAACUUUAUCCCCUUCAUUGAACUGAACAUCUCGACGAUGAGCAUCGUAUUGUGACUUCAUUUUCUGCUGAGCUCGCAAUAAAUUGGCCCUUAAAGAACCCAAAAGCUGAACUCGAAGCUGAAGUGCAUUAUCCACAGCAUCAAGGUUUAAAUGUCCUGGACAAUAAGAAAGCAGCCGUGGAGGAGGCCUGCCAUGUACAACUUCAAAUGGAGUUUCUUUCAAAGAAGAGUGAUAACUUGUAUUGUAACCUAUGUAGCACGGAAACGGA
rnacentral:misc_RNA from 1 species